rnacentral:rRNA from 1 species
CCUACGGGCGGCAGCAGUGGGGAAUAUUGGACAAUGGGGGCAACCCUGAUCCAGCCAUGCCGCGUGUGUGAAGAAGGCCCUCGGGUUGUAAAGCACUUUCAGUGAGGAAGAACGCCUGGUGGUUAAUACCCAUCAGGAAAGACAUCACUCACAGAAGAAGCACCGGCUAACUCCGUGCCAGCAGCCGCGGUAAUACGGAGGGUGCGAGCGUUAAUCGGAAUUACUGGGCGUAAAGCGCGCGUAGGUGGCUUGAUAAGCCGGUUGUGAAAGCCCCGGGCUCAACCUGGGAACGGCAUCCGGAACUGUCAAGCUAGAGUGCAGGAGAGGAAGGUAGAAUUCCCGGUGUAGCGGUGAAAUGCGUAGAGAUCGGGAGGAAUACCAGUGGUGAAGGCGGCCUUCUGGACUGACACUGACACUGAGGUGCGAAAGCGUGGGUAGCAAACAGGAUUAGAUACCCUGGUAGUC